AAAUUAUUAUUGCAAUAGUGACAACGACAAUAAUUGUAACUGCUCUCCUCAUUGAGCCCUGCAGGCAUUACAAGUCUUAUAAACUUUAACUCAAUUUUAACAAGGUCCCAUGUGGCAUUUUCACUGAAAUAAAGGGUUUCUCUGCUCAAAGAGUUUAACAACUACUGAUCUGGUCCAACUCCGUCAUGAAAGCUACAGAGAGAGGCAUCCUCAGGGGACUCACCAAGCAAGGGACAGAGCUGGGGUUGGAUACUUGAGGACAUCCUCCAGGAGUUGCACUCACUCACAACUGUGACCUGGGAGCUCAUUGAGUCAUAGACCAGCCUUGUAGAGAUGAGUGCCCAAACUACAACCCCAAACCCACUUAUUUAUCCCAAAGUGCCAACACUGCAAUUAAACCUGAAUACUGAGGUUUUAGUUUAGAAAAAAACAACUCAUACAUUAACAUCUUUUGUCUUUAAAAAAAAAAAAGCAUGAUAACAUGGAUGCCGUAGGUUUGCCACCACUGUCAUAGACUAUACCCUAUUCAUCUGAGUCCAGAAAACCAGGAAGAACACCUGAGACAGGCAGGAGAUGGACAGACCAUACUUCCUAUCAUGUGCCUGUUCUGAAAUCCCAGGGUUGUUCAAAUCUAGAAAACUUGGUUGACAUUUCAAAUAAUGCAAAGUGUAGGCCUCCCUGGUCUGUGUCCAUAUAGUUGGCUUUAUUAAAACCCACUCCCCUGUCUCUUGCAAUGAGUGUAUGUUCUACACAAACUGUGUGUGUCCCCCUUGCUUUGGAGGGACAUUCAUUCAUUCAUUUAAAAAGUUCCAGUGAGAAAAAAAGUUUUCGUGAGCACUUUCUAUACAUUAUUAACAAUAACAACAAUCAUAAUCCAUUCAAUAAGCAUUCAUGUGUCAAGCUCACUUCCAGGUAUGAGAGACAGAGCCAGGAAUAAGACAGGUACCUUCUGACUCUAGAUUUUUCAUUCCAGCACCCUACCAGGGACCCUAACAUGUGUGGAUGCUUCCUGCAUGCCAGGCAUUGUGCUCAGGAUCUCUCACUUAGGCUCCACAACAGCCCUGUGAAUAAGUGCUACUGGUUUCCCCAUCUUCCAGAUGAGGAAAUGGAGGUCCUUCCUCAUCUUCGCCUGAAGGAUUCCCUGGGAGGAGCUGAGAAUGGAAAUAAAGCUUUGCCAGGAAGUCAGAGCCAGCUUCUAGGGUCACCAUGCUCAUCUGUAUCAAGCUGGAAGAGGGAAACAGAAUGGAGAGUUGAAUGUUGGAUGUUUUUAUGGCCAAGUGUGAGGUGGCUCACAUCAAUGUUCCAUUGACUAGAUCUUGGUCACAUAGCCACACUUCAUUGCAAAGAAGGAGGAGACAGUGGUCUGUCUACCAGCCAAGCAUGAAGACAAAUGGGUUCUGAUGAACUCAUGACAGUAUCUUCCCAACCUUUCAUGUUCCAGCCCUGCCCUUGCAUGUCUCAUAUCACUCACCUCACCCUAAUUCAACAAAUUCUGUCAUUAAUUUAAAUGUUGAUAUCUUAUUCCUUAUAGU